AUUGAACGCUGGCGGCAGGCCUAACACAUGCAAGUCGAACGGUAACAGGAAGAAGCUUGCUUCUUUGCUGACGAGUGGCGGACGGGUGAGCAAUGUCUGGGAAACUGCCUGAUGGAGGGGGAUAACUACUGGAAACGGUAGCUAAUACCGCAUAACGUCGCAAGACCAAAAAGGGGGACCUUCGGGCCUCUUGCCAUCGGAUGUGCCCAGAUGGGAUUAGCUAGUAGGUGGGGUAAAGGCUCACCUAGGCGACGAUCCCUAGCUGGUCUGAGAGGAUGACCAGCCACACUGGAACUGAGACACGGUCCAGACUCCUACGGGAGGCAGCAGUGGGGAAUAUUGCACAAUGGGCGCAAGCCUGAUGCAGCCAUGCCGCGUGUAUGAAGAAGGCCUUCGGGUUGUAAAGUACUUUCAGCGGGGAGGAAGGGAGUAAAGUUAAUACCUUUGCUCAUUGACGUUACCCGCAGAAGAAGCACCGGCUAACUCCGUG
rnacentral:rRNA from 1 species